UUCUAAGUAUGUCGGAGUGGUUGAACAGAGAGAAAGGGAAUACCCUAAGAGAACUAGAAAUCUGGAAAGAACCGAAAUAGAGGCAGUGUCUGAUGACACUUUACUUGAGGAGUCACCUGCUGAACUGCUGAUCACCUCUAGAGAUCCCUCCAGCUAACCAGAACUGACUUCAUCAGCUAGUUAUGAUGGUUAACUCUAUCAGUAUUUUACCUGAAUGCCCCAAGAUAUUGAUGAAGUCAACAGCAACAUUGAGCCUCAGAACACUAGAAAUCUUGGACAAACUGGGAGAAAGCUUGUCAAUAUCUAAGGUGGUUUUAGUUUUGCCGUAGACCAGGUCUUCUUGAAUAUCCUAGACCUUGUAAGAACAACUAUCAACUUCAUAUGAAAAACCAAAAAUCUCCAGAUAGCUACAGCAUCCUGAACACUAGAAUAACUUCUGGAGGUUGUGCUUUCAUUUUCCUGACUAGGACUCAUCGCAACACACUUCUGUGGUUGGAGUGGCCAAUAGAAAAGAUGAGGAUCUCUGGAUCUGUAAGGCCCUGAGGAUAAAUCCUUCUUUGCUGAGCUGAACCACCUGUCUCUCCCUCUACAGGCCCUGUUCAGAGUUAACCCUUAAGGAGACCUUUUUUCAGUGUUGAGUGAUCAGCAUUUAUUGAGAAGGCAGAGAAUAGAUGGUAAGAAUUGUUUAUGCAAACUUCUGACAGUAGAUGUUUGGUAUAAGCAUUACAGUGCUAUGUUAGACUGAAACAAGAUAUGAGGGCAGAGAAAUCAGCAUUUGAAUAACAUACGGGUAAAUGUUACAC